rnacentral:rRNA from 1 species
GAUGAACGCUGGCGGCGUGCCUAAUACAUGCAAGUCGAGCGAACAGACGAGGAGCUUGCUCCUCUGACGUUAGCGGCGGACGGGUGAGUAACGCGUGGAUAACCUACCUAUAAGACUGGGAUAACUUCGGGAAACCGGAGCUAAUACCGGAUAAUAUAUUGAACCGCAUGGUUCAAUAGUGAAAGACGGUUUUGCUGUCACUUAUAGAUGGAUCCGCGCCGCAUUAGCUAGUUGGUAAGGUAACGGCUUACCAAGGCAACGAUGCGUAGCCGACCUGAGAGGUGGAGCGCCCCCACUGAGACGGAAACCGCGCCAGGCCCCUGCCGGGGGGAACAAGGAGGAAUUCUCCCGCAAGGGCCGAAGGCCGGACGGAGCACCCCCGCGGGAGUAAUGAGGGUCUACGGAUCUAAAAACUUUUUUAUGGGGAAAAAAAAAAUGUUUAAGAACUUAUGCCCGUUUUGAGGUCCCCUAACAAGAAAGCCAGGCCAAACUACGGC